rnacentral:rRNA from 1 species
AUACGGAGGGUGCGAGCGUUACUCGGAGUCACUGGGCGUAAAGGACGCGUAGGCGGAUUGGAAAGUCAGAUGUGAAAUCCUACAGCUUAACUGUAGAACUGCAUUUGAAACUUCUAAUCUAGAGUAUGGGAGGGGGAGAUGGAAUUAGUGGUGUAGGGGUAAAAUCCGUAGAUAUCACUAGGAAUACCGAAAGCGAGGCGAUCUCCUGGAACAUAACUGACGCUAAGGCGUGAAAGCGUGGGGAGCAAACGGGAUUAGAUACCCUAGUAGUCC